GACGAACGCUGGCGGCGUGCUUAACACAUGCAAGUCGAACGGAAAGGCCCUGCUUUUGUGGGGUGCUCGAGUGGCGAACGGGUGAGUAACACGUGAGUAACCUGCCCUUGACUUUCGGAUAACUUCAGGAAACUGGGGCUAAUACCGGAUAGGAGCUCCUGCUGCAUGGUGGGGGUUGGAAAGUUUCGGCGGUUGGGGAUGGACUCGCGGCUUAUCAGUUUGUUGGUUGGGUAGUGGCUUACCAAGGCUUUGACGGGUAGCCGGCCUGAGAGGGUGACCGGGCACAUUGGGACUGCGAUACGGCCCAGAGUGCUACAGGGGGCAGCAGUGGGGAAUCUUGCACAAUGGGCGGAAGUCUGAGGCAGCAACGCCGCGUGCGGGAUGACGGCCUUCGGGUUGUAAACAGCUUUCGCCUGUGACGAAGCGUUAGUGACGGUAAUGGGUAAAGAAGCACCGGCUAACUACGUG
rnacentral:rRNA from 1 species